UGGGGGAUAACGAAGCGAAAGCUUUGCUAAUACCGCAUAAGAUCUACGGAUGAAAGCAGGGGACCGCAAGGCCUUGCGCGAACGGAGCGGCCGAUGGCAGAUUAGGUAGUUGGUGGGAUAAAAGCUUACCAAGCCGACGAUCUGUAGCUGGUCUGAGAGGACGACCAGCCACACUGGGACUGAGACACGGCCCAGACUCCUACGGGAGGCAGCAGUGGGGAAUUGUUCGCAAUGGGCGCAAGCCUGACGACGCAACGCCGCGUGGAGGAUGAAGGUCUUCGGAUUGUAAA
rnacentral:rRNA from 1 species